GGAUACAAAUAGACACACCAUCACAUUGACACAUGAUCAAAUUGAGAUCUAAACAAACACACUAUCAUAUUGGGCCCCAAACAAACACACCAUCAUAUUGGGAUCCAAACAAACACACUAUCACAUUGGUAUCCAAAUACACUAUCACAUUGGUAUCCAAAUCAACACACAAUCACAUUGGGAUCCAAACAAACACACCAUCAAAUUGGGAUCCAAAUAAACACACCAUCACAUUGGUAUCCAAAUCAACACACAAUCACAUUGGGAUCCAAACAAACACACUAUCACAUUGGGAUCCAAAUAAACACACCAUCAUACUGGGCCCCAAACAAACACACCAUCACAUUGGGAUCCAAAUACACUAUCACAUUGGUAUCCAAAUCAACACACAAUCACAUUGGGCCCCAAACAAACACACCAUCACAUUGGGAUCCAAAUACACUAUCACAUUGGUAUCCAAAUAAACACACCAUCAUAUUGGGCCCCAAACAAACACACUAUCACAUUGGGUUCCAAACAAACACACUGUCACAUUGGAAUCCAAAUACACUAUCACAUUGGUAUCCAAAUACACUAUCAUAUUGGUAUCCAAAUAAACACACCAUCAUAUUCGGCCCCAAACAAACACACCAUCAUAUUGGGUUCCAAACAAACACACCGUCACAUUGGAAUCCAAAUACACUAUCACGUUGGUAUCCAAAUCAACACACAAUCACAUUAGGUUCUGAACAAACACACCAUUUCAUUGGGCUCCAAACAGACACACCAUCACAGUGGGAUCCAAAUCAACACACAAUCACAUUGCGAUCCAAACAGACUAUCCCAUUGGGAUCCAAACAGACACACCAUCACAUUGGGAUCGAAAUAAACACAACCUCAUAUUGGGCUUUAUUAAGGAUUUGCAUCCGUAAUGCCAGCAUAUGUUUUGGCGUGACCUCAAAUGCCAAGCCAUUCCACCCUCGGUUUGUGGAGGGCAGAAGACGGUCAGUGUCCUGACCACUGUUGGCUUUGGGAAAAACCAGAGUGGCCACCCGCUGACCUCUACUUCCCGGGUCGCUUGUGUCGGUGGGUGCCUUUUGUGUGCCUUUGUGUUGCCGUUCCCGCCAAGCGCCUUUAAUCUUUGGCAACUCAGGUCCCUCGUUUAUCUCUCCGGUUUUGCUCCGAGCGGCAACAGAAGGCAAUUCCCUCGGCGAACCCUGACAGCGAUGCUAUCUUCAGAAGAUUUAGAACUUCAAACGAGGCUGCCUCAAAGCAUAUAAAUAUCUUUUCAUCAUUUCAGUCUCGAUAUAAUUAUCCGGAGAGGGAAAGGGAGGGCAGGCGGGGCUACCGGCAAACACCAAAGCGGAGAGGAUAAAUCCAGUGUUUACCAAGAAAACGGGUCAGGAAGGUGUUUGGUUACUAAUUGCAUGUAAACCUGGCCCGCUUUGUUGUCCGCACCAUCGAGUUAAGACAGUUUGAUACCACUUUGAUUGGGGAUGGAAUCCUGCCACUUGUGGGUUUCUAAUUAUUAUUAUUAUUAUUACUACUACUACUACAAGGGUUGAAUGGAGGGAAGGAAGGAAGAAGUGAAGGAGGAAAAUAUAUACCGUGGAGAAUGAAGGUGGUUUGACACCAUUUGGACUGCUGUACGAGGGUUGAAUGAAAAGUAAUGCCUCCGCCUUAGUUACUUGGGUUUGGAUGGGAACAUUUUAAUACAGUAGAGUCUCACUUAUCCAACACUCGCUUAUCCAACGUUCUGUGUCUGUCUAUAUAGCUAAUUUAACUAAUUUACGACACCAUAAAAAGAAUGAGGAAGUGCUCCAUCAAGUUACUCGGGUGUCACAGUGGACGAUGAAGCCGCAGCUCCCUCUUGUGGCCAGAAUGGAGCGUAUAUACCCUCAUGAAGCCGGAAGCUGGACAAUGUUAAAUGGCCUCUGUGUCUGUCUAUAUAGCUAAUGUAACUAAUUUACGACACCAUAAAAAGAAUGAGGAAGUACUCCAUCAAGGACUCGGGUGUCACAGUGGACGAUGAAGCCGCAGCUCCCUGUUGUGGCCAGAAUGGAGCAUAUAUACCCUCAUGAAGCCGGAAGCUGGAAAAAUGUUAAAUUGCUUCUGUGUCUGUCUAUAUAUGUCGCAUGGGUGAGAAAGAAGGGCAGAAUAUAAAUACUGUAAAUAAAUAAAUGAAUAGUGUAGCUGGUCACUUUUUGUGAUGGUUUCUCGGCACUAAGAAAUAAAUCCCGUUUUGGCAUGAUUCCCCCCACUUUCCCAGCCAACAAAGCUCUAGUGUUGGGGAGACAAAUCCAUACGGUUGGCAUUCUUGGAGACAUGGUGUCGGGGACGAAUCCCAGGCUGGGCUUGACUUGGGCGGCCUUGUUAAUACCGUCAUUUUCCGC
ensembl:lncRNA